rnacentral:rRNA from 1 species
UGGGGAAUUUUGGGCAAUGGGCGAAAGCCUGACCCAGCAACGCCGCGUGAAGGAUGAAGUAUUUCGGUAUGUAAACUUCGAAAGAAUAGGAAGAAUAAAUGGCGGUACUAUUUAUAAGGUCCGGCUAACUACGUGCCAGCAGCCGCGGUAAUACGUAGGGACCAAGCGUUGUUCGGAUUUACUGGGCGUAAAGGGCGCGUAGGCGGCAAUUCAAGUCAUCUGUGAAAUCUCCGGGCUUAACUCGGAACGGUCAGAUGAUACUGCUUUGCUAGAGUGCAGAAGGGGCAAUCGGAAUUCUUGGUGUAGCGGUGAAAUGCGUAGAUAUCAAGAGGAACACCUGAGGUGAAGACGGGUUGCUGGGCUGACACUGACGCUGAGGCGCGAAAGCCAGGGGAGCAAACGGGAUUAGAUACCCUGGUAGUCCCUGAGCGGGCUGGCAAGGCGCAU